GGGUUGUGAGGUUAAGCGACUAAGCGUACACGGUGGAUGCCCUGGCAGUCAGAGGCGAUGAAGGACGUGCUAAUCUGCGAUAAGCGUCGGUAAGGUGAUAUGAACCGUUAUAACCGGCGAUUUCCGAAUGGGGAAACCCAGUGUGAUUCGUCACACUAUCAUUAACUGAAUCCAUAGGUUAAUGAGGCGAACCGGGGGAACUGAAACAUCUAAGUACCCCGAGGAAAAGAAAUCAACCGAGAUUCCCCCAGUAGCGGCGAGCGAACGGGGAGGAGCCCAGAGCCUGAAUCAGUGUGUGUGU
rnacentral:rRNA from 1 species